rnacentral:tRNA from 1 species
CGGGAUAUAGUUCAGAUGGGAGAACGCGUGCUUUGGGAGCAUGAGGUCGUGGGUUCGAGCCCCGCUAUUCCGA